rnacentral:miRNA from 1 species
GGGGGGGUUCGGGCAUCUCUAC